rnacentral:rRNA from 1 species
UGGGGAAUCUUGGACAAUGGGGGCAACCCUGAUCCAGCCAUGCCGCGUGAGUGAUGAAGGCCUUAGGGUCGUAAAGCUCUUUCGCCUGUGAAGAUAAUGACGGUAGCAGGUAAAGAAACCCCGGCUAACUCCGUGCCAGCAGCCGCGGUAAUACGGAGGGGGUUAGCGUUGUUCGGAAUUACUGGGCGUAAAGCGCACGUAGGCGGACUGGAAAGUUGGGGGUGAAAUCCCAGGGCUCAACCCUGGAACUGCCUCCAAAACUAUCAGUCUAGAGUUCGAGAGAGGUGAGUGGAAUUCCGAGUGUAGAGGUGAAAUUCGUAGAUAUUCGGAGGAACACCAGUGGCGAAGGCGGCUCACUGGCUCGAUACUGACGCUGAGGUGCGAAAGUGUGGGGAGCAAACAGGAUUAGAUACCCUGGUAGUCCACACCGUAAACGAUGAAUGCCAGUCGUCGGGUAGCAUGCUAUUCGGUGACACACCUAACGGAUUAAGCAUUCCGCCUGGGGAGUACGGUCGCAAGGUUA